GAAUCCUAAAACCAGCAGAAGCUUCUUCAUGAACGAGUAGUCCGAUCUCCUGAAGCACGUCAUUCUCCUACGAAGUUUGAAGCACGAGUGUGUUUAGAUCAAUCGGUUGCCAGGUAUACAAUCCCCCCUUUCUGAAUUUAUGGCAAGAUACGGAGAAGGAGGUGGCAAAAUAUCAAGAGAGAGGAGGGGAAAAUAUCGAGAGAAGUGGCAAAAAUGAUUGACAGCACGGGCAAUUUGCAUGAAUCGAUAGUUGCAUCGGCUUCUUAUGUAGCGAGGGUGAAAAAAGAAAUUCUACCGAAGAUUUUGAGAAACCGAUUGUCAGAUGAGACAGUUGAUUUUUAAUAAGAUUGUAAUGAAAUUUCUUUAAAAUUCCAAUGCAACAGAAUUCUUAUAGAAAGUAAACUGCGGAUUUUUAUGUAUUUCAUUUAUAAUAUUUAGUGGAUAAAAUAAUUCUCUGCCUAGAUUCCAUUAUCUUUAAAUAUAUCCCCAAAUAUAUAAAUUUGCAUAAUAAUUUAUAGUUGAAUAAAAAGUAAUAUUAAUUGUUACAUCUGCC
rnacentral:misc_RNA from 1 species